rnacentral:rRNA from 1 species
AUUGAACGCUGGCGGCAUGCCUAACACAUGCAAGUCGAACGUGAAAGAGGGGCAACUCUCGAGUAAAGUGGCGGACGGGUGAGUAAUACGUAGGAAUCUGCCCUAGAGUGGGGGAUAACCUGCCGAAAGGCGGGCUAAUACCGCAUAAUCUCUAUGGAGAAAAGGUGCCCCGUAGUAAUACGGGGUUUCGCUUUGGGAUGAGCCUACGUCGGAUUAGCUAGUUGGUAGGGUAAAAGCCUACCAAGGCAACAAUCCGUAGCUGGUCUGAGAGGACGAUCAGCCACACUGGAACUGAGACACGGUCCAGACUCCUACGGGUGGCUG